GUACACACCGCCCGUCACACCAUGAGAGUUGGGGAUACCCGAAGCCUGUGAGCUAACAAUUUUAUUGAGGCAGCAGUCGAAGGUAGAAUCAAUGAUUGGGGUGAAGUCGUAACAAGGUACC
rnacentral:rRNA from 1 species